GACGAACGCUGGCGGCGUGCUUAACACAUGCAAGUCGAACGGAAAGGCCCUGCUUUUGUGGGGUGCUCGAGUGGCGAACGGGUGAGUAACACGUGUGUAACCUGCCCUUGACUUUGGGAUAACUUCAGGAAACUGGGGCUAAUACCGGAUAGGAGCUCCUGCUGCAUGGUGGGGGUUGGAAAGUUUCGGCGGGUGGGGAUGGACUCGCGGCUUAUCAGCUUGUUGGUGGGGGAGUGGCUUACCAAGGCUUUGACGGGUAGCCGGCCGGAGAGGGUGACCGGCCACAUGGGGACUGAGAUACGGCCCAGACUCCUACGGGAGGCAGCAGUGGGGAAUAUUGCACAAUGGGCGGAAGCCUGAUGCAGCAACGCCGCGUGCGGGAUGACGGCCUUCUGGUUGUAAACCGCUUUCGCCUGUGACAAAGCGUGAGUGACGGUAAUGGGUAAAGAAGCACCGGCUAACUACGUG
rnacentral:rRNA from 1 species